GACCCCAUCGUCUAGUGGUUAGGACGGCGGCCUCUCACGCCGUUAACGGGGGUUCGAAUCCCCCUGGGGUCGCCA
rnacentral:tRNA from 1 species